UCAUAUGCACGACUGCACCAUUACACAAUGUGUCACCCAUUGCAAAGACAAAGGCGGGCCCAGGAUACGCCUCCAAUCCCCAAUCUGCAGUACCCGCCUGUCCAUUCGCCUGUCAGUCAGUGGAGCCAACAAACAAAAUUACAGUUUUGUCCUUGUUGACCAUUAGAUUUAUUAUAAAACUUUAAUGCAACUUUCGCAACACAUGCAGAGUUGUAUGGGUGUGUGUGUAUGUGUUAAUGCCGUAAUGUUGUUAAUUAAGUGAACAUGGCAAGCGCCCUGACCUGGCAGCUGUCCAGUAUCAGUAUGUACAUAUCGUGUCCUGUCAACCGCCCCCCUUUAAAAUCCCUGCCACCUGUCAGUUGCAACCGGAGAAUUUCAGAGGAAGAAGAGCCCAGGGCUCCAGGAUUGCACAGCUCCAUGGGCUGCAUGGGUCAGAGAAAAAUGCAGAGUGUCAGCGACGAUUCCAAAGCAGUUCCGAAUGCCAUCCGGUGGAGCAAUGGGUCGGUCCGUGCCUCAUUAGCUAACUGUGCACGUGCACAAAUCAAUUUGGCUCUGCCGAGCUCGCCCUUUUGCAGCCAAGCUAAAAACAAUCAUACGACGCGUUGUCCAAACGGCAAUCAAAGUCAACUGCUUUCAGUGGUGAAGGAAAUCUCACACUGGACGGAAACUACGAAGUGAAGCAUUUGUUCCUUUGGUGUUUGGUGAGAGCUGCAAUUUUCAAAUCUAUUUCUAUCAUUUAUAAUCUAUUUGAAUAAUAGGUACUAAAGAUAGUUACAAUAGCAUAACAAGCAUUUUGAUAUUGAAAGCUUCAGGAUAAAAUGUUAAGUUCGCUUUUUUAAUUUAUAUUUAAAUUAAGCUUUGUUGGGAAAGUAAAACACUACAUUGUGACAUGAUGAGAUGUAGCACGUUGUCAUCGUAAAAAAGGCUCAAAUGUUAAAGCUUAAAGUACGAGGAUGUCGUGGUAUGUUUUAAUAAGCAAUGGCUUAGGAGGAUCCAGAAGGAUGGCACAUUGGGUGCUUCAGUUGCCAGCCAGUCAGCCAGAAGAACCCCAAGAUUGCCUCAGUUUCGUGCUUGCCAACCGUACUGAUAAGUGCACUUCAUGAUGCUCAAAUUAUAUGGCUGCCUGGGAACGAGCGCCAUCAGCAUUACGCCCAUGAAGCACAAACAUAUUCACAUUGUUGCACAGGCUAUUAAACACGGUGGGUGCGCGCGGGAGGGGGAGAAAUGCAUUUUUAAUGCAGCGCAAAUGUGGCAAGUGCUUGGCCGGGCUUAGAGCUUGCUAGCUUGCUUUUAGUUAACCAGAAUUCGUGGUACAGCUGGGUGUGCUGUGCCGGCACCAUCCAUUGGCAAACUUUGGACCCAAUUAAACACCAAUUAGUGGGAUGUGGUGGGUGGGCUGCUGAAGUUUCGGCUUAGCAAAACUUUUGAUUUUUUCGGCAGCGAUUUUCCGACCCUUGCUCUGCGCCUAUUUAACGACCUUCGAUUGAGCAGCUCAAGUACAGGCUCGUUUUCACGUAGUCCUCGUUUUAAUUGUAAGUGGCUCUUGAGGACAGUCGGUUGGAAAAUUAAAUCAGCGCGAACUACUCUAAUGUAGUUGGAAACAAUCACGUGACCUGGUUGCCCAAUGCCCGGAGGAUAAUGUCAUAAAUUAAUCAACCCAUGUCCACGGACCGCAAACCGCAAGCUGAAGCUGUUUAUUGGUUGGAUAAACACAGAGAUUAGGGACAGGAAACAAUAAUUAGUCUAAGGUUAUAAAUAUAAAUAUUUUUGAAAUGUAAGAACUAAAAACUACCUGACUUUUAAAAUUGUACAUGC